rnacentral:rRNA from 1 species
AAGGGGCCGUAGCCGGUUUGGUCAGUCCUCCGGGAAAUCUGACGGCUCAACCGUUAGGCUUUCGGGGGAUACUGCCAGGCUUGGAACCGGGAGAGGUAAGAGGUACUACAGGGGUAGGAGUGAAAUCUUGUAAUCCCUGUGGGACCACCUGUGGCGAAGGCGUCUUACCAGAACGGGUUCGACGGUGAGGGACGAAAGCUGGGGGCACGAACCGGAUUAGAUACCCGGGUAGUCCCAGCCGUAAACGAUGCUCGCUAGGUGUCAGGCAUGGCGCGACCGUGUCUGGUGCCGCAGGGAAGCCGUGAAGCGAGCCACCUGGGAAGUACGGCCGCAAGGCUGAAACUUAAAGGAAUUGGCGGGGGAGCACAACAACGGGUGGAGCCUGCGGUUCAAUUGGACUCAACGCCGGACAACUCACCGGGGGCGACAGCAAUAUGUAGGCCAAGCUGAAGACUUUGCCUGAAUCGCUGAGAGGAGGUGCAUGGCCGUCGCCAGUUCGUACUGUGAAGCAUCCUGUUAAGUCAGGCAACGAGCGAGACCCGUGCCCACUGUUACCAGCAUAUCCUCCGGGAUGAUGGGUACUCUGUGGGGACCGCCGGUGUUAAAUCGGAGGAAGGUGCGGGCCACGGU